rnacentral:tRNA from 1 species
CCCCUCUUAGCUCUAAUUGGCGAGUCGAAAGACGAGAGCUUCUGACUUUUAAUCAGAAGGUUGCUGGUUCGAAUCCAGCAGAGGGGACAA